GCCGUGCAUAAUCGGAACGUUGGUUGUGUGUGACCACGCAACACCAAUGGUCUAGGAACCUAGACUAAUAAUCGGGGAGAAAGGGGAUGCAGUCAUGCAAAUGGCAGCCAGGUCUAGGAAACAAGUAUUUGGGAACUGAAGGAUCCAUGACCUGGCAGGUAGGCUAUUUAAAAUUAAACAGGAGAAAUUAAAAAGUAAAAGAAAUCAGCCAUAAGGUUUAUUGCAAAUAGCAAAAUAUAAUGAGAGGACGCUGUUGACCCCGCUCAGAGAUAUAGGCCAUCCAUGCGUGCAAACGUCAUGCAUGGCAACACACCACGAUCGUCGAAUGCCCCUCUGUCUACCCACAACGCAUUGUGGUUCUGAAUCACAUAAGCCCUAUGUCACACAGACGAAACUAAACAGACGUUUCUAAACAGACGAAACAAGGAACUUCACUGCAAACUAAUCGGCUAUUCAUAGCCUGGAACCUGAGACUAAUGGACAUCGCCAGUGACCGGACAUCGUCUUGGGGAAAGGAGGGAUAACAAUUUGCAUAUAACCCAGGAGUAAAACACAUCAGGGGAAAGGAGGGAUAACAAUUUGCAUAUAACCAGGAGUAAAACACAUCAGGGGAAAGGAGGGAUAACAAUUUGCAUAUAACCAGGAGUAAAACACAUCAGGGGAAAGGAGGGAUAACAAUUUGCAUAUAACCAGGAGUAAAACACAUCAGGGGAAAGGAGGGAUAACAAUUUGCAUAUAACCAGGAGUAAAACACAUCAGGGGAAAGGAGGGAUAACAAUUUGCAUAUAACCAGGAGUAAAACACAUCAGGGGAAAGGAGGGAUAACAAUUUGCAUAUAACCAGGAGUAAAACACAUCAGGGGAAAGGAGGGAUAACAAUUUGCAUAUAACCAGGAGUAAAACACAUCAGGGGAAAGGAGGGAUAACAAUUUGCAUAUAUUAUAACCAGGAGUAAAACACAUCAGGGGAAAGGGGGUCUGGUGUUUUAUGUCCCAAUUGACGACUACGGCUACGGCUAGAUUUCUGCGUCUUCAUUUGUUGAAGUAUAGGACGUCCUAUCGUGUGUCCGCGUAUAAACCAGCUUUUAGUAGUUUCAUAUUCGGGCACAAAUAUACAACGGGGGUUUAACAUAAAUUAAGAUCAAAUAAAAAUCCUAGUGCCAGAGUUUUACUUUUGUCUGUACAUAAACUAAAACCCUUUUAAUUGUACAUUUGUUUUAAAAGCUAUAAAACUAAUUUUUGUUGUUCAGAUGGUUUGGCAUAAAGAAUAAUUUAAAGCAGAGAUUUGAUUUCAUAAAAAAUAAGUUCUUCGUUUGUGGUGUUUACCGCUCCAGCAACCUCGCUACCAUCCGACGCGCACCGGGCGCGCAAAUGUUUAGCACCGCGCGCCAUUGCAGAGGUGCACAUGUGCACAAAGACAUAAGGAAAUCAUGUUUCUUUUUACUGUUUAUGGAAAUUAAAUGUUUUCCUCAACGAAUAACACAAUUUCCUUAACAGGACAUCAUGAUAAUACCAAUGUAGAUCACUGACCACAAAAAUUUACGACAAAAUAUAAGCCGAAUCAUCUUGAAAAGGUGCUUGUCUUAGGGGAGUUGGGUCAAACACGCGGAAACUGCAUAAAAGUAGCUAAUGCGGUACAUCGGCAAGGUAGUUUGUCAGAAUUUCAGUAUUUUACUUUCUGCUUAAUUAAAACAAAUUAU